rnacentral:lncRNA from 1 species
UUUUUUUUUUUUUUUGAUCAAUAGAAACUUAUCUCUUGUAAAAUUCAUCUAAAAACUCUUUACCACUGGUCCUAUCAGAGAACCACAUUCUGAGGAUUGCAAUGAUGCUGAUGGAGUUUAGUUGGUUGGAAACUGAAAAUAUGCAACUCCUGAGAAAAAGCCCGUUUGCUGAAGCUAGGCAAAACUGUACAAGAAUGAAAGGAUCUUGGGGGGAGAAGAGGAGGAGAAUUUAAUUAAAGGUAUGACAGAGGAAUUUAAAACUCAAGAUAGUAUGUAUUUUUCAAUAUUGUACAAAUGUUCCCAACUAAAACUUACAUUCUGGGUGUGACUUUCCCUGGCCAAUAAACUACUCAUCUUAUAUUUUACUUCUAUCUUUUCCAUUUUCUCUCCCAGAUUUUCAAUACCAUCUAUCCUUCUCUCUGCCUGUCCAGGCUCUUAUUUGACAUUCAAUGAAUGACAUUAAUCCCAUUGCAAAAUGACUUUGUACAACAAGAGAUGUAAGAGAAGUAUUUUACUAAUGAAAGACCAUACUACAAUGAAUAAUAAACCAUAGGAAAACAGUGACUCAUGCUUAGGGAGGCAGCCAGGGCUCUGGAAUUACACUGACUGAGGUUCAAAUUCUGAUUGCUGUUCACUGGUUGUGAAAAUUGUUUAUUAACUCUCUGAACUCCAGUUACAUCCUCUGUAUGACUGGAUAAUACCUACUUCAUAUGGCGAUUGAGCAUAUGGUGAAUCAGUGCUCAGUUAGUAUAUACUGCAUUGUCUUGAAUUGAAAGAAAUGUGUAUGACCUUACAUAUUUAUCUCAUUUAUCUCAUUCAAUUCAAGUAAUAUCUCACUUAAUCAUUUUAGGGAAAUUAAAUUUAAAUAAGUUAAUUAACCUGUCCAAGGUUUCCAAAUUAAUAACUGCUACAAUCAGGAUCAGAAUGUAGGAAAAACAAAGAAAAUUGUAUUUAAAAGGACAUAUGGUAACAAUUACCAUUUCAGAAAGACUCUUGAACAUAUAGACAAUAUAUAAUAUGACAUAUAAGAAAAAUACUUACAAUAUAUACUCUGUAAAUAGUGAUUAAUAGUAAAUUAAUAAACAUUUGCCAAUAAUGAAUCAUAUUUCAUUUCAAGUAGGGAAUGACUAAUUCUUAUUUGCUCCAUCAGUUCUAUUAAAAUAAAUACAUGAAAAAAAUAAAAUAAAUACAUGAUAAUGCUCAAGUGAUAUCAUCUCUGAUAUAAAAGUUUGAAGAUGUAAGAACUGUUACUUAUUGGAUACAUCAUGUUAAUACUACUCUUUGGAACCUAGUGCACUUUUUGAAGGAGAAACAUGAUGGAGCUUUGUAAAUAACCCUAAAUUUUGAGAAAAAUAAUUUUUAAAAAGAUGAUCUCAGACUAAUGAGACAGUGGCUUCGGGAUCCUAUUCUACUCCAAAGUAGCCUUUCCCUAACACUCAAUAGCAAUCCAAAGUUUUGGGGGCAUUUUAAACUUGAUUCUGGGAAAAUAAGUCCAUCAGCAGUAGGUAUUUAUUGGAGAAAUAUUAACUGAAGCCUGGAUAUUUCUGGAGCUGUGCUCCUAGAAGCAUGUGCAGAUGGAAGCUCUUUGCCUCCCCCCUCCACUUGCAUUUGGGGAAGCCUGAGGCAUUUUUCAAUGAAAUCGCUCUGGGCAAACCCAAAGGGCCUGUCUUCCUGCGGCAUUUACUCAGUCAAGGGAGUUGAGUAGGAGGUAGUGAAACGGGAGAAGAUGAAAAGUGGCACCACUGAAGGUUCCCUUUAACUCUCCUUCAAGUAUGCCGCAUCCAGUAAACAACAAUCAGAACACACAUGCUCUCUUCUCAGCACCUAUGAUCAGCUGGUCAAACAGUAGUGACAGCCCCAACCCCCCAAGUGUACUUAGCACCUUGGAAAAGCACACCUGAGGCCGAGCCAACUUACUUUUGUCAAAGCAUAAAAGGCUUUUCCUAUUCUAGGAGCCUGGUACUAAGAUCUCAGGACACAGUGAUCAUUUCAUGGAUUUAUGGACUUGAUCUGGGAAGAUUUGGGGAAUUACAUGAUCAGUCUGCUCCCUGCAUUCACAAAGGUGAUAUUCAUGAGGGUCUUCAUGACCCUUCAUGAGGGUCUUUUUCAGAGUCAAAGCUCUCGUCACAUCUCCCAGAUUUUGAUAUUGUUGCCUUUCAGAAUAAAAUAAAAUAAAUGCCAUCUGAGAUUGUUCAUUCCCGAUCACCUAUACUUCUUAGUACCUCUUACAGGUAAAGCGAAACUCUAAUUUUCAGAAAGAGUUAAUUCAGUACUUAUCUGGACAAGUGGGGUACUUAGGAAAAACGAAAAAUCUCCAGGCUGUGUUCCCAGUAGCUAUGCUAAUCUAGAGAAGAUAGCAAGUUAUUAUUAAAGAGUAAAGAUAGCACACAUAAAGUAUCUAGCUAGUAGAGUGGUAUCUGAUGCACCCCUAGCAUUUAAUAAUAGUAGAAUGUACAAGGCAUUCAUUUUGCAACAGUAUUAGUUCCUUUGCUCAUUUCGGUGACUUAUCUUUUCACUUCCUGGCAGAGAGGACUCUGUUACUUCUUUCAGUGUAACUACUGCAAAUGUGUUCUUGGCUCAGCCCCUUUCCAGAUAUUGAGUUGUCUAGAAAACCCAGCUACCAGAGGUGUCCCUUCACUUGGACUAAUGUACAUUUUCCCCUUUUCCUGGCUCUCCUCCUUCUAUGUGGAUGCAUGUACAUAUUUGCGUACCACUUUGCAACCUUGUGGCCCUUUAGUUUUAAGAAUCUGAAGAUGCUCGUGGCACCUGGGUGGUUCAGUGGUUGAGCAUCUGCCUUUGGUUCAGGUUGUGAUCCCAGGGUCCUGGGAUUGAGUCUUACAUCAGGCUCCCUGCAGGAGCCUGAUGUAAGACUUCUGCCUAUGUCUGCCUAUGUCUCUGCCUAUGUCUGCCUAUGUCUCUGGCUCUCUCUGUGUCUCUCAUGAAUAAAUAAAUAAAAUCUUAAAAAAAAAAAAGAACCUGAAGAUGCUCAAACAAAAUCAUCUCACCAUAUAUUAAUGGUAAUGAUUUGUUUGACCAUCAAAUGAGCUCAUUUUUAGUUAAAAGCCUGACAAACUCUAAAUAUAUGUAGUGACAACAAGAAAAGUAGUACAUUUAUCAAAUUGGCAAAUUAAAAAACAAAAGCAAAAACAAAAACCCUCUGCAACUUAAAAAAAAAAAGAGUUAUCAAAAUUUAUGUCAGAAAAGAAAGUUUUCUAUGGGAGCCUGAAUUAGAGCCCUGGCUCUUCCAUUUUCUAGUUAAGAGACAAGGGGUGCAGGUCAGGCCAAUUCAUUUCUCUCAAUUGAUGUUCCCUCCCCUGUGAAGUGAGAUUAAUAAAUGUUUCCUUUCCAGGCCUGAGGUCAGGAGUUAUUUAUAAAGGCAUGCCAAUGACAAACAUUUAUAGUCAUGAACCCUUAGUAUGUAUCAGCAUGUUAAGCACUUUGUAUGGUACAUGAUACCCCAAAUUAGAAGGAAUAUUUGUAUCACCAUUUAAUAUAAGAGAAAGUGAGGGUGUAUUACUAUAUUAUGUAAUUAUAUUAAAGUACAAAUUACUUUUUUAGUCAAAGCGUGCCCUGUAACAUCAUUAAUUAUUAUCAUUAUCCCUUCAAAAAGUAAGUGAAUACAAGAUGUACAAAGAGCCAUGUUUGGUUUCUCUCAAGGAAACAAAGCUGCCAUUCUGUACCUACCACUUUUCCUCCACUGCCAGGCUUCACAGAUGCACUAUCUGUACUUGCAGACUCCACUUAUUUGUGACUCUUCCUUAUGCUCCUGUAAUCUUCAUCUCAUCCCCACACCUCCCGGAAUCAGGAUGAAAAGGGAAAUAAUGUCUCUAUUAAAACAACAAGGGGGCCAGAGUUGCAUCAUUUCUUAAUUAAUUGGAUGAUGCCUGUCUCUCUCCUCUUCUAAUUACUUGCUUCUCUUUUCAUUUCCUACUUGUGAUGAGAAUCUACACUCUUAAAUUAAAUCAAUAUAAGAUUUGAGUUGAAUGGUAUCAACUUUACUCUGGGGGAAAAUGACAUCAGUUCACUACACCAGCUCAAAAAAGAACUUCAGGGUUACGAGGAUUAAGUUAGCUUAUUCUUGAUUUACUUCACACAUCUUUAUUGAGCAAUGCUAAGUACUGGGCAUAGAUCAGUCAAUAAGAGAGAAGGGCUUUCUGUUCUUGUGGGGUCACAUUAGCAGAGGAGACAGACCUUAUCUAUGUCAUUUAUGAGUAGAGAUGGAAAGCCUGUAUCUGUGUCUUAUUUCACUAGAUAGUAGUGUAUAGUAGGAGUUACAGUUGUUACAAUAAUGUCUCAUCUUUAUUGCUUAUUAUAUGCCAAGCAUUGUUUUGCACACCUUGCAGGUAUGAACUCUUAACAACUGUUCUAAACAGCAAGACUGGUCAUGUCAGUUUCUAAUUUCCGUGGUUCUUCACAGAACCACAUUAUUGGGUAAACCAGCUGGGCCUAUAAAAGACAUUAGAAUAACAUAGGGCACUAAAACAUCACUGGAAAUAAAACUGGAUGGGGAAAAUCAUAUUUACCAGAACUCUUUUUUCAGGAGAAGACAAAAAGUGUUUGGAAAAAGUAGUUUUAUAGCUGCUAGGCAUGGAGGUUGAAAAUCUCCAGCAGGGAUGCUUAAGCCCUAAGAUCUACUCUCUAAAGUGCCUUCAAGAGAAGAUGGGGACCUGUUAACUCCCACCUUUGUUUGUCUUUGUCAAAAGGCAGUGGGCAUGAUGGAAACAAAAAUGGCUUUCUCUCUGUAACUGAUGAGAGACUGAGCAUUGGCAAUGUUCCUGUCCAGUCUCUCAUGCAAUCCUCAGAGCAUCCUCUAAACAUACGUUGGACAGAACUAAAAAACUACAAUUCAAACAAACGAAACUAUUGUUCCCUUAAGUCAUUUUUAUUCUUUAGACAUUCCCUGAAGUUCCUAAUUAUGUUAAACUAUUUCUUACUUUACAAAUCCUUCCUAUUCUAGUGUCUUAAUUUUCUAUCCUUAACUGCUAACAUGCUGCCUCUGUAUAUGUUUGCACAUUACCAC